CCUACGGGUGGCAGCAGUGAGGAAUAUUGGUCAAUGGGCGGGAGCCUGAACCAGCCAAGCCGCGUGAGGGAAGAAGGUACAGCGUAUCGUAAACCUCUUUUGUCAAGGGACAAAGGCGGGGACUAGUCCCCGGCUGAGAGUACCUGAAGAAAAAGCAUCGGCUAACUCCGUGCCAGCAGCCGCGGUAAUACGGAGGAUGCAAGCGUUAUCCGGAUUUAUUGGGUUUAAAGGGUGCGCAGGCGGCAUGUUAAGUCAGCGGUAAAAGCCCGGGGUUAAACCCGGGCGAGCCGUUGAAACUGGCGGGCUAGAGUUGGAGAGAGGUACGCGGAAUGUGCGGUGUAGCGGUGAAAUGCUUAGAGAUCGCACAGAACCCCGAUUGCGAAGGCAGCGUACCGG
rnacentral:rRNA from 1 species